GAUGAACGCUGGCGGCGUGCUUAACACAUGCAAGUCGAACGAAGCACUUUAUUCGAUUUUCUUCGGAGAUGAAGAUUUAGUGACUGAGUGGCGGACGGGUGAGUAACGCGUGGAUAACCUGCCUCACACUGGGGGAUAACAGUUAGAAAUGACUGCUAAUACCGCAUAAGCGCACAGUACCGCAUGGUAUGGUGUGAAAAACUCCGGUGGUGUGAGAUGGAUCCGCGUUUGAUUAGCCAGUUGGCGGGGUAACGGCCCACCAAAGCGACGAUCAAUAGCCGACCUGAGAGGGUGACCGGCCACAUUGGGACUGAGACACGGCCCAAACUCCUACGGGAGGCAGCAGUGGGGAAUAUUGCGCAAUGGGGGAAACCCUGACGCAGCGACGCCGCGUGAGCGAUGAAGUAUUUCGGUAUGUAAAGCUCUAUCAGCAGGGAAGAAUAAAUGACGGUACCUGACUAAGAAGCCCCGGCUAACUACGUGCCAGCAGCCGCCGUAA
rnacentral:rRNA from 1 species